rnacentral:lncRNA from 1 species
GUCUCCAUAAAAACCCAAAAGGACAGGGUUUGAAGAGCUUCCAAAUAGCUGAACGCAUGGAGGUUCCUGGAGGGUGGUGUGCACUGGGAGGGCAUCGAACCACUGCACCCCUGCCCAUACCUUGCCCCACGCAUCUCUUCAUCUCUAUGGAACCCAUUCUUCAAAGAAGUCGUACUCAGAAGUCUGAUACAUUAAACAUGUAAAAGCCAAGCUGCUCUGCCUGAAGCGAUGUGGGGAGCCUGGAGUCCUGCUGAGGAAGGAACACUUUUAGAUUGGAAAGAUUUUGAUCAUCUCAAAAGUCUUGGAUAUAAAAAUUCAGUCUGUGUGGCAGGGAACAGCUCACUCCUGACUGGUUGAAGAUAGGAGGUUGAAGAAAUAAAUGAACUUGAAGCAGACUUGAAGUUUCAUGCCUGAGAUCCUAAAGUAAGAUAAUGUUUGUAAGGCUGAUUGCUAAUCAAGAUGCCUUAUUUCUCAGAUUUUUUUAAUCUGAAUUAUUCCUUCCUCAACCAACAUCCCGAUUUAGGAGCUGUUAUAAGUCAUCACUCAAGAUAAGGAUUUAAAAGGACUGGAUUGCAAAUGCAGCCAGCAAAGCUUAGAAGCCUAAAGGGGUGGGAAAAUGAACUCCCCAAUAUGGGAAAUAAAUGGCAGUUCUGAUGAUUGGCAAAGCGGUCUGGCUUCUUCCAGAAAUAUUUAUAAAGGCAUAAAUUAAUGGCAUUCCAGUUUCUCAAGGAGAAUGAAAAUAAAAAUCCCCAAACAUUCUAAUUUCUCUAAGAGAAUAUAAACAUAAAAGCAAGAGGGUCCUAACAGUGUCGCUC